GACGAACCGAGCGAACGUUGUUCGGAAUCACUGGGCUUAAAGGGCGCGUAGGCGGGUGCUCAAGUCCGGGGUGAAAUCCUCCAGCUCAACUGGAGAACUGCCUCGGAUACUGGGUGUCUCGAGUGUGGUAGGGGUAUGCGGAACUAUCGGUGGAGCGGUGAAAUGCGUUGAUAUCGGAAGGAACGCCGGUGGCGAAAGCGGUCCGCUGGGUCCCCACUGACGCUGAGGCGCGAAAGCCAGGGGAGCAAACGGG
rnacentral:rRNA from 1 species